rnacentral:rRNA from 11 species
AUGUUUGGCCUAAAUACCCUAAAGGCACUAAAUCCUGUCACAUUUUGCAAACUAAGCAGGGUCAGUUCUGAUUAGUAAUUGGAUGGGAGAUUGCCAGCAAAUACCAGGAGCUGUAGGCU